rnacentral:rRNA from 1 species
UACGGGGGGAGCAAGCGUUGUUCGGAUUUACUGGGCGUAAAGGGCGCGUAGGCGGUCGUAACAAGUCACUUGUGAAAUCUCCGGGCUUAACUCGGAACGGUCAAGUGAUACUGUCGGACUAGAGUACAGAAGGGGCAACUGGAAUUCUCGGUGUAGCGGUGAAAUGCGUAGAUAUCGAGAGGAACACCUGCGGCGAAGGCGGGUUGCUGGGCUGAUACUGACGCUGAGGCGCGAAAGCCAGGGGAGCGAACGGG